AAAAAGUUAUGCACCUUGCCAACUAGUAAAUACUAUAAAUCAGCAAGUACUGAGGUUCGGGGGAUGAUUACCAUAUUGAUCAAAGUUUGUUGAGAGAGAAAGUAAUGAUCCCGGGGGAGAUCUGGAAGACCGAGAUUCAGAUAAGGAUCAACGCCACAGAGUUAUUUAUUUUUGAGGACAGUAUUGGACAGCCGGCUCAGGAUUUGAAUUCGAGGACGAAUUCCUUAUAAGUAAGGGAGAAUUGUAACGACCUGGUUCACCCAAAACCGGUUUGAUUCAUUUUUUAAAAUUAUUUUGUACCAAACCAUUUCUUAAACCGAGCUACAUAUAUACAUGUGUAUAUAUCUUCUUCCAAACCUAGCAUCGUGUACCGUCAAAGGAGACGCAGCCUUUAAUCACCAUCGUCUUCUUCCUCUCCACCAUGUCUCCAAGUCCACACUCAUGCUCUUCUCUCCUCUGUUAUUUUCUCUUACCAUCCAAUCACGUUCAUCCUGGCCUCGAUCCGCAGUGCUUCAUCACAAAUCAACAUCAAUGAUGCCCGAGCACUCAUAUGCAUUGGAGAAGAAGCCUGCGACCAUAGCUGCGACCAUAGCUACCAUGGUGGGCCUUGUUUCUGUGUUACGCCAGAUCCGAGAGAUGAAGAAUAAUCACCAGACCCAUUGCAAUUCCAUCUCACACGUUGUGGACGUGAGCAAAGACGAGAGAGAGUGAGGACGUACAAACAGAGCAGUUGCAGAUCUUCACUAUGUUUACUUGCAUCAUUGGAUCCAUGGCUGAGGUGUAGUUUUGUGAGAGGCUUCUAGUACGAUUCAGAAGACUAUAGACUGCGAGUCAUGGCUCUUUGGAUAGAUCUCGUUUCAACGAAUCUGUACCAGCAAACGGAAUCGAGAUCGGAGUUGUACAGCAAAAGUUAUGGACAUUCUUUCUUGGCCAAGAAUAAACUUAAGCUGUUGCGAUGCAGAGACAGUUCCGACCAGUCUCAGAAUAAAGGCGAAACGGUCGACCUAAACGAAAGCUUUCAAUCUGGAAGUUUGUCAGUAAGUAGUUAACUCUUUUAUCUAUCGUCUCCAAGAAGCGGAUUGUCAUUUCGAGUUAUUUUCUGAAAGUUGUGUUUGUUUUCGCGGGAGAUAUUACUGCAGUCUUCGUUUGCGAUCAGCCUGGAGGUGAAGCUAAUUUGGUUAAUCAGAUGGUGUCCGAUCGGAGUAAACUCGGUGUCUGUGGAUAGAGGACAUUUAGGACUACAUUCUGACCGGACGGAUUAAAAAGUUAAGGAGAGUUCCGGAGUUGCUGUUUUAGAACCGUCAAGGACAUUUGGUGUUUUCUCAGUUUUCUUCAGAAUUGUGGCAAAGGUGAGACAGACGAGUAUAUGAUAUUUGGACGGAUUGGUGCUAUUGGACUUUUUAUUUCGGAUUUUUAUUUGGGUUUUGGGUGAGUGGAUUUGUGUAUAUGGGCUAUUGUGUUAUGAGUUAUUGUUGCUGGCCCAUUUUCUCGAGAUAGGAGG